rnacentral:tRNA from 13 species
AGCGGGUUGAUGUAAUAGUAACAUAUAUGGCUCAUGCCCAUAAUAUUUAGGUGCAACUCCUAAAUCCGCUA